UCGAAACUUGUUAAGUAAGUUGGCAUACAACAAAACUCGUUGAAGAAAAGUCGAUAAACGAAAUGAAUUCGGUAGAAAUCUCUGGUUUUAUCCCCAAACUUGGUCUAGUCGUAGUAGGAAUUGUGUUGGUAGAAUGCACUCGGCAAGGCUUGAAUUACCUGCAGCGAAAAAAUUCAAAGCCAGUGAUUAGACAAGUGAUUUUCUUUCCUGAUAAACAAAUUGCCUGUAAAGACUUUUUCGAUUCAGUCGAAGGCUGUUCGAGGAUUCGCUGCGAUUUCAGCCACACAACAACUGGCUUCAGGCAACUACUUUCCCACAUAAAGUCAGCAAGGAAAUCUAUCGACAUUGCUGUUUAUUGCAUCUCUUGUUUUGAGAUUGCAGAUGUUGUGUUGCAACGUCACAAAGUUGGAGUCAGAGUCAGAGUGAUUACAGACCAGAGCAUGGAGAUAGCUUUCGGAUCCCAGAAUCACCGUUUUAUGAAAGAUGGGAUCCGGGUAUAUACCAACAAACCCCCAUUUCUAAUGCACCACAAGUUUUUUAUUAUUGACGAUGAGCUGCUUUGCUCUGGGUCCUUCAACUGGACUUCACAAGCUGUCACUGGUAACAACGAAUCUGUCAUAAUCACUAAUGAUCCCUGGACCGUUGAACCUUUUUGUGCUGAAUUUCAAAAAUUGUGGCAAGAAACUAAGCCUGGAAAUUAACUCUUGUAUUUAUAGCUAAUACCAUAGAUUUUCUGUUUAUUCUAAUCUUCACCUUUAUUAGGGGGACUUCUUCUUUAUCUCUUAAAGGGACCUUGAAUUUUUGUUUGCCAAAAUUUUACUUAUAGCACAUGCGAUUCCGAUACCUGCUCAGAGACAGUAGAACUCCAAUAAAUUCUUUAAUUAUUUUCAUGAUCAACAAUAGAACUACAUUGAAUUUUAAAUGUCCGACAAUAGAACUCCAACGAUUUUAAAACUAUUUUCAUGUCCGAUAGUAGAAUAGAAGAACUUCAUUGAAUUUUGAAUAUCUCCAAGUGUCCGACAAUCCAUCCAUCCUUGAUUCCUUUCCGUACAGUCAAACGUGGAGGAAUCUUUUGGCUCCGUCAGUAGGUGGCUAAAAUCAAGUUGUCCCCCCCAGCCGCCAGAUGACGCGAGUGUCUUUGAGGGGACGAAAUUUUCGCCAUUUUGUUCCGAAACGCCAAGUGAAAAGGUAUUCCAAAUUCGUUACGGAAUUGAGAUGUCGAUCUACAUUUUCAGCAGUGAAAUUUAAUGGCAAUCUGGCAUAUAAUUUUCAUUUGGCCAAAUAAUCGAUCACGUGGACUGAAACUGCUUUCCAAUUUGCCGAAAUGUCGUCGGUUAUUAGCUUUACCUGUUCGGAUGCACGUCUCAUCUCACGCCGAAACACUACAGAGAUUUUAUUAGUUGGUGUUCAGGUUGGAGAUCCCGUUGCUUAACUGUUGCAGAAUGUGAGAACUCAACAAAGUCUGAGCUACAUGGUCGGCAUCAUUACAGUGAUUUCGUUGGAGCCAGCUGGUAAAAGGUGUAAUCGAGUCAAGUUGAGCUGCUGCUGCUGCAUGCAGUUUAUCGAGCUGGUGUUAUCCUGAAGUGUCAUUGCAGGAAGACUUUUUGAAAUGGACUUGAUGAUACUUAAACUAUGCCUGUGCAGUGGUUUUGCAGCCUGUUUCCAGUUGAGAGAUGUGAUUAUGCAGCUGAUACAGGAUUGAAGAAAAAGAACUGAAGUAGCUGUGCUGGUGUUCUCCUGAAAUUGCUGUGCCACAGGAGUUGCAGAUAGUGUUUGGUUCCUCAUAGAAGUUUGUUUAAAGAGUUUGGAGAUGAUCAUCCACUUCUGACUAUAACUUAUGUGAAACUUCAAAGUUGUAAGAAAUAUACAAGUCAAGUGCUAAA